rnacentral:rRNA from 1 species
GAUGAACGCUGGCGGCGUGCCUAAUACAUGCAAGUCGAGCGAACAGACGAGGAGCUUGCUCCUCUGACGUUAGCGGUGGACGGGUGAGUAACACGUGGAUAACCUACCUAUAAGACUGGGAUAACUUCGGGACACCGGAGCUAAUACCGGAUAACAUGCUGAACCGCAUGGGUCAACAGUGAGAGACGGUCUUGCGGUCACUUAUCGAUGGAUCCCCGCCGCAUUAGCUAGUUGGUAAGGUAACGGCCUAUCAAGGCAACGAUGCGUAGGCGACCUAAGAGGGUGAUAGGCCACACUGGAACUGAGACACGGUCCAGACGCCUACGGGAGGCAGCAGUAGGGAAUCUUACGCAAUGGGCGAAAGCCUGACGGAGCAACGCCGCGUGAGUGAAGAAGGUCUUCGGAUCGUAAAACUCUCUUAUUAGGGAAGAACAAAUGUGUAAGUAACUAUGCACGUCGUGACGGUACCUAAUCAGAAAGCCACGGCUAACUACGUG